GACGAACGCUGGCGGCGUGCUUAACACAUGCAAGUCGAACGGAAAGGCCCUGCUUUUGUGGGGUGCUCGAGUGGCGAACGGGUGAGUAACACGUGAGUAACCUGCCCUUGACUUUGGGAUAACUUCAGGAAACUGGGGCUAAUACCGGAUAGGAGCUCCUGCUGCAUGGUGGGGGUUGGAAAGUUUCGGCGGUUGGGGAUGGACUCGCGGCUUAUCAGCUUGUUGGUGGGGUAGUGGCUUACCAAGGCUUUGACGGGUAGCCGGCCUGAGAGGGUGACCGGCCACAUUGGGACUGAGAUACGGUCCAGACUCCUACGGGAGGCAGCAGUGGGGAAUAUUGCACAAUGGGCGGGAGCCUGAUGCAGCAACGCCGCGUGCGGGAUGACGGCCUUCGGGUUGGAAACCGCUUUCGCCUGUGACGAAGCGUGAGUGACGGUAAUGGGUAAAGAAGCACCGGCUAACUACGUGC
rnacentral:rRNA from 1 species